GCCUGCAUGGUCCCUAAAAGCUUAGUCUUUUCACCACGUCUCUCUGGAUAGCAGCAGCAGCCUCCAGACAGCCUGCAGACUGCGUGUGUGUGGUGUGUUGUGGGGUGUGGGGUGUGUGUGGUGUGUGUAGUGUGUCGGGUGUAUGUGUGUGUCUGGUAUGUGCGUUGCAUGCAUGUGGUGUAUAGGAAUGUGUGGUCUGGGCUCUGUGUGGUGCAUGUGUGUGAGGGUAAUUUUGUGGUGUGGGGUAUGUGUGCACUAUGUGUAUAAAAUUGUGUGUUGGUGGAGGGUGUGGGUUGGGGCUGUGGGAUGAUCAUCACUGGAAGGUGAACCGCAGCUCCAUGAUAACCUUUUGUGCAUACACGUCAUUUGUAAUUAGCCAGGUCUGGAGAGUUCGAACUGCAGCUAUCCACAGAAGAAAGUCCAAAUUCCUUAUGUGGCAUUCAAGGCCCUCUGUAAUCCAAUGAGAUCCACGUUUCCAGCUGUUUCUCUUCUUCUUCUCCCCUAGGUGCACACAUGUGAUACUGUUUUGUAUCAAGGCAGGAUCAUGAGGUACAUAGAACAGUGAAAUUCACAGAGACAGAAAGUUGAAUGGUGGUUUCCAGGGGCAAAAAAAAAAACAAGGGAAGAUUCACACUCCCUUGCAGGUUUCUCUCCACAGACCUCACCAGGUGUCAAAAAAAGAGUUCUCCAGGGGAUUCCAAUGUCUGCCAAGCUGUAAAGCCAUCGGCCUUUUGGGUAGUUAUCUUCAUUUCUUCUUUGGGGAGAAGCUUGAUUUUCUGUAAGCUGCAGAAGAUAGCUCAAACCAGCAGCUCAGCCAGUUAAGGGGACGGAGGCUGCUGGUCUGCAUCCUUCCAAUGGUCUUUCGUCUCCCUUUUUCUCCUAACUUAAAGCUUUCAUGAUGGAGAAGUCUUCCCUGUUGUCUGCAAUUUUCCUUCUCUCAAAACAACCUUCUGAAUCCUCUUUUGGGGUGGGGUUUCAGAUGUUGUGAAACCAUCACAUGCUUAUGAACUAGCAGACAUACAGCACCGGAAGUUGAGAGGGUGGACUGCUAUUAGACUGCCUGGGCUGAGUCCUGAGGGCACCUCUUGCUUGCUUGAAUGACUUCGGGCAAGUUACUUCACCUCUCCAAGAUGUCAUCGGGGCUCAUCAAAGUACCCGCCCCAUGAGGUCUCCUUGUGAGAACAACAUGAGAAAAGCCUGUGCAAAAUGCUUGCCUGCCACGUAGAAAAAAAGCUUCCAUAAAUGUUGGUUCAUAUUGUGAGCUUUCAAAUCAACCAAGUGUGAAUAAUUUCUACUUCAUUCCAUUGGCUAUGGCAGGGGAAUACAAAGAUUUGUCAGAGCCAUUUCCAGCCUACAGGAGUUUACAGCUAUCUGACUUUACAGCUACGAGUGCCGUGAGAGAGCUACAAACCCAAUGCUGCAGGUGUUCAAAGUCAGAGAUUUAAUAACCACGGAGCCGGGAAUUAGGGAAAGCCUAAUG
rnacentral:lncRNA from 1 species